UACGGAGGGUGCAAGCAUUAAUCGGAUUUAUUGGGCGUAAAGGGCGUGUAGGCGUCUUAGUAAGUCAGCUGUGAAAUUUCGGUGCUCAACACCGAAGCUGCAAUUGAAACUGCUAAGAUAGAGGAUAGGCGGAGAAAACGGAAUUCCACAUGUAGCGGUGAAAUGCGUAGAUAUGUGGAGGAACACCGGUGGCGAAGGCGGUUUUCUAGUCUAUAACUGACGCUGAGGCGCGAAAGCAAGGGGAGCAAACAGGAUUAGAUACCCUCGUA
rnacentral:rRNA from 1 species